rnacentral:tRNA from 1 species
GCCUGGCUCAGUUGGUUAAGCGUCUGACUUUGGCUCAGGUCAUGAUCUCACGGUUCGUGGGUUCGAGCCCCACAUCGGGCU